rnacentral:rRNA from 1 species
UACAGAGGGGGCAAGCGUUGUUCGGAAUUACUGGGCGUAAAGGGCGCGUAGGCGGCCUUCUAAGUCGAACGUGAAAUCCCCGGGCUCAACCCGGGAACUGCGUCCGAUACUGGAAGGCUUGAAUCCGGGAGAGGGAUGCGGAAUUCCAGGUGUAGCGGUGAAAUGCGUAGAUAUCUGGAGGAACACCGGUGGCGAAGGCGGCAUCCUGGACCGGUAUUGAACGCUGAGGCGCGAAAGCCAGGGGGAGCAAACGGGG